rnacentral:rRNA from 1 species
GAUGAACGCUGGCGGCGUGCCUAAUACAUGCAAGUCGAGCGAACAGACGAGGAGCUUGCUCCUCUGACGUUAGCGGCGGACGGGUGAGUAACACGUGGAUAACCUACCUAUAAGACUGGGAUAACUUCGGGAAACCGGAGCUAAUACCGGAUAAUAUAUUGAACCGCAUGGUUCAAUAGUGAAAGACGGUUUUGCUGUCACUUAUAGAUGGAUCCGCGCCGCAUUAGCUAGUUGGUAAGGUAACGGCUUACCAAGGCAACGAUGCGUAGCCGACCUGAGAGGGUGAUCGGCCACACUGGAACUGAGACACGGUCCAGACUCCUACGGGAGGCAGCAGUAGGGAAGCUUGCGCAAUGGGCGAAAGCCUGACGGAGCAACGCCGCGUGAGUGAGGAAGGUCUUCGGAUCGUAAAACUCUGUUAUUAGGGAAGAACAAAUGUGUAAGUAACUAUGCACGUCUUGACGGUACCUAAUCAGAAAGCCACGGCUAACUACGUG